GGUUCUGUGAUGUAAUGGUAAGUUGUCUGGACUGUGAAUCCAGUAGUCUGAGUUCAUAUCUCUGUAGAACCU
rnacentral:tRNA from 1 species